AGAGUUUGAUCAUGGCUCAGAUUGAACGCUGGCGGCAGGCCUAACACAUGCAAGUCGAACGGUAACAGGAAACAGCUUGCUGUUUCGCUGACGAGUGGCGGACGGGUGAGUAAUGUCUGGGAAACUGCCUGAUGGAGGGGGAUAACUACUGGAAACGGUAGCUAAUACCGCAUAACGUCGCAAGACCAAAGAGGGGGACCUUCGGGCCUCUUGCCAUCAGAUGUGCCCAGAUGGGAUUAGCUAGUAGGUGGGGUAACGGCUCACCUAGGCGACGAUCCCUAGCUGGUCUGAGAGGAUGACCAGCCACACUGGAACUGAGACACGGUCCAGACUCCUACGGGAGGCAGCAGUGGGGAAUAUUGCACAAUGGGCGCAAGCCUGAUGCAGCCAUGCCGCGUGUAUGAAGAAGGCCUUCGGGUUGUAAAGUACUUUCAGCGGGGAGGAAGGGAGUAAAGUUAAUACCUUUGCUCAUUGACGUUACCCGCAGAAGAAGCACCGGCUAACUCCGUGCCAGCAGCCGCGGUAAUACGGAGGGUGCAAGCGUUAAUCGGAAUUACUGGGCGUAAAGCGCACGCAGGCGGUUUGUUAAGUCAGAUGUGAAAUCCCCGGGCUCAACCUGGGAACUGCAUCUGAUACUGGCAAGCUUGAGUCUCGUAGAGGGGGGUAGAAUUCCAGGUGUAGCGGUGAAAUGCGUAGAGAUCUGGAGGAAUACCGGUGGCGAAGGCGGCCCCCUGGACGAAGACUGACGCUCAGGUGCGAAAGCGUGGGGAGCAAACAGGAUUAGAUACCCUGGUAGUCCACGCCGUAAACGAUGUCGACUUGGAGGUUGUGCCCUUGAGGCGUGGCUUCCGGAGCUAACGCGUUAAGUCGACCGCCUGGGGAGUACGGCCGCAAGGUUAAAACUCAAAUGAAUUGACGGGGGCCCGCACAAGCGGUGGAGCAUGUGGUUUAAUUCGAUGCAACGCGAAGAACCUUACCUGGUCUUGACAUCCACGGAAGUUUUCAGAGAUGAGAAUGUGCCUUCGGGAACCGUGAGACAGGUGCUGCAUGGCUGUCGUCAGCUCGUGUUGUGAAAUGUUGGGUUAAGUCCCGCAACGAGCGCAACCCUUAUCCUUUGUUGCCAGCGGUCCGGCCGGGAACUCAAAGGAGACUGCCAGAGAUAAACUGGAGGAAGGUGGGGAUGACGUCAAGUCAUCAUGGCCCUUACGACCAGGGCUACACACGUGCUACAAUGGCGCAUACAAAGAGAAGCGACCUCGCGAGAGCAAGCGGACCUCAUAAAGUGCGUCGUAGUCCGGAUUGGAGUCUGCAACUCGACUCCAUGAAGUCGGAAUCGCUAGUAAUCGUGGAUCAGAAUGCCACGGUGAAUACGUUCCCGGGCCUUGUACACACCGCCCGUCACACCAUGGGAGUGGGUUGCAAAAGAAGUAGGUAGCUUAACCUUCGGGAGGGCGCUUACCACUUUGUGAUUCAUGACUGGGGUGAAGUCGUAACAAGGUAACCGUAGGGGAACCUGCGGUUG
rnacentral:rRNA from 1 species